rnacentral:lncRNA from 1 species
CUUUAUAAAGAAAUUUAUAUUUGAUUAGAAUUCUAAGAUAUGGUUUUCUCAUCUUGAUAAUUGAGAUAGACAACGAAGCUCUUAAUACAUGUUAUAAUUAUCCAAUUACAAAAGCAUUCUUUAUUUUAUUUUUUAAAAGAAAUAAAAAUUCUGAAAAUUCAAAUAAAAUAAAAAAGAAAGAGAGUAGAUAACUUUUGAAAGAACAAUGUUAUUUAAUGUAAGAUUUUAAAAAUGACAUAAUACUGCAGCAAAAAAAUUAGCCUAGAAUCGAGAAAAAAUUUACAAUUAUUGUUCAUUAAAUACAUGUCAAUAUCAAAUAAAAACCACUUACAGGAUCUGAAUACUUAUAUGCAAUAAUGCAGGAAUCUAAAUUCUAGAAGUGAGUACACGGAAUAGUGAUAAGCAACAUCAAACUGUCUUCUUAAGAAGAAAAGGAAUACAGUGAGUGUCUGCAUACUUGCAUAUACCUGCCAGAUACGUUCUUCCUAGAAAGCAAUUUCUCAAAUUUUUCAUAGUGCACAACUCAAAUGUAUCGCCACUACUUCAGUCCACAAAAAUUUCAUCAAAUUGACAUGAAAUCUUUUCAAUUUCUAUUCCUCAAAAAACCCAAUUUUGCUUUGCUAAAAAAUAUAUGAAAUUGGACCACAAAAUUAAUUUUUUGAAGAAAAUUCAAUGAAUUUUCUGAGAUCGAAAAAAAAAUUGUGGAAAGAAGAUAUUUUGAAAAACCAAUGGAGAGUUUUGCUUUGUUUAUAAGGGGAAGAGAGGUUUUCUUCAAAUGGAUAUAUGAUACUUGUAUCGGUUGUAA